rnacentral:lncRNA from 1 species
GAUUACUUUUGGCUUUCCCAAAAAAAGAUCAUAAAGAUCAUACAUGUAUAUAUGGAAAGGUAAUCAAUGAGAAGUUUAAAAUAUUAUGUGGUGGAAUUGAAUUGAAAACCUAAAUGUAAAACUGAAAUUAUAUUUGUAAAAUUAUGUAAGAGGAUAAGUGAAUUGCUAAAAAUUAGCUUAAUUUUAUAGUUAUGUUUUGAUGAAAAUCUGAUUCCUUUUACUUAAAAUUUAUUAAAUUUAUCUCAAAAGUUUUAUGUGCUUUGUGUUUUAUGGAUAAACAUCAUGCCUACCCAAUUACAGUUAGACACAAUAUUAGGUUAUCAAUAUAUUGUGAUUCUUUCAACCAUACAAAAAUUCCUUUAAAAAUCCAUGGUAGUACUGUAUAUAAAUGAAUGUUGUAAGAAGAGAUACAAGCAAGAAACGUUUUGCCAACUUCAAACUCUAUUUCUAACCAAAACAAAAGUGACAUCUUUUAGUUUCUUUUACAAAUUACAAUGGAACUAUAGAUUAUAGUGCCAUUAGCUAUUGUCAUUGGAGUGUUCCUCGGGGAGAUUGUGUGUUCUAUUAUUUCGUAUUGCACCGGAGUCAUUAACAAGGACAUGGACGGAGACUAAUGCGUGAAGGAGACAUACAUAUGGCAGACGAAAUCUCUUUUAUGAAAUAUUAAAUAAUUUUUAAUUUGUGAC